GACGGAGGGGGCUAGCGUUGUUCGGAAUUACUGGGCGUAAAGGGCGCGUAGGCGGCCUUCUAAGUCAGACGUGAAAUCCCCCGGCUUAACCUGGGAACUGCGUCUGAUACUGGGAGGCUUGAGUAUGGGAGAGGGAUAUAGAAUUCCAGGUGUAGCGGUGAAAUGCGUAGAUAUCUGGAGGAAUACCGGUGGCGAAGGCGGCAUCCUGGACCAUAACUGACGCUGAGGCGCGAAAGCUAGGGGAGCAAACGGG
rnacentral:rRNA from 1 species